CCAGUCAGUUCCAGAGUGAAACUCCCUUCCUCUGAGCAACUCUUCAUCCUGGGGACAAGCAAGCGAGGGACAUCUGUUCACUCUAACAACUGGAGUGACUCCAGGGAGGGAGCAAACUCAGCUGUGUCUAAGUUACCCGGGAGAGUGGAGAUGGAAGUAAACGGAUACAGAAAAACUCUGGUGCCCUGACAAAAAUCCAGCAGGAAGAUGAUUAUGGAGCUAUCAGUAAAAAUGUUUCAUUUGGGUAACCAACGUUAUUAAUGGAAGGACAUAGCUCAAGAUGUGAAAUCCUCGCUCCCUCUCUCUAUUGACCCAACAGGAUUACCAGGGCUGGAAGUACCACUCUCAAAAUACGAUUGCUGACCUACAGUUUUCUUGUGCUGCUGAAUAUAGGAUUUAAAAGCUGCUGGCCUGAUCUCGCACAAAGCACAGACUGUUCACCCGAGCCUGCACAGAAGAUAAAUUUCACUUGGAACAGAGCAAAAAAUAACAACUGUUACCAGUCCCACAACUCAUGUGUUUCCUAUGGACAAAGUUAAAAAUCACACAACACUAGGUUAUUGUCCAACAGGUUUAUUUAGAAACACUAGCUUUCGAGCGCCGUUCCUUCAGCAGGUAGUCUUGGAGAACAAGAUCAUGAUUCCGGAAUGUGUAGCAAAGGAGUCCAUUGUCAUGGAAAUGUGAUACGUUAAACAAUUUUAGAUUAAAUCUUUCACCUUUUAGAAUGGGUUUCUGGUCUUUUGUAUAUUAAUCCCAGAAGUAACAAUAGGUGUGAAUUCUGUCUG